UACGGGGGGGAGCAAGCGUUGUUCGGAUUUACUGGGCGUAAAGGGCGCGUAGGCGGCCACCGCAAGUCGACUGUGAAAUCUCCGGGCUUAACCCGGAAAGGUCAGCCGAUACUGCGGGGCUAGAGUGCAGAAGGGGCAACUGGAAUUCUCGGUGUAGCGGUGAAAUGCGCAGAUAUCAGGAGGAACACCGAUGGCGAAGGCAGGUCUCUGGGCCAUAACUGACGCUGAGAAGCGAAAGCAUGGGGAGCGAACAGG
rnacentral:rRNA from 1 species